GACGAACGCUGGCGGCGUGCCUAAUACAUGCAAGUCGAGCGAAGCGGCGGAUGGGUGAGUAACGCGUGGGUAACCUGCCCUUAAGUUUGGGAUACCAUUUGGAAACAGAUGCUAAUACCGGAUAAUAAAGGAUGGACCUGCGAUGCAUUAGCUAGUUGGUAAGGUAACGGCUUACCAAGGCGGUGAUGCAUAGCCGAUUUGAGAGAGUGAUCGGCCAGAUUGCGACUGAGACACGGCCGAAACUCCGACGGUAGGCAUCAGUAGGGAAUCUUCCACAAGGGAGGAAAGUCUGAUGGAGCAACGCGGCGUGAGUGAAGAAGGUUUUCGGAUCGUAAAGCGCUGUUGGUGGUGAAGCGGUAAUCAACCAGAAAGUCACGGCUAACUACGUGCCAGCAGCCGCGGUAAUUC
rnacentral:rRNA from 1 species